rnacentral:rRNA from 1 species
GAUGAACGCUGGCGGCGUGCUUAACACAUGCAAGUCGAACGAGAAGUGGAGACGGAAACCUUCGGGCGGAAGACUUUAUUUCGAGUGGCGGACGGGUGAGUAACGCGUGGGUAACCUGCCUCAUACAGGGGGAUAACAGUUGGAAACGACUGUUAAUACCGCAUAAGACCACAGCACCGCAUGGUGCGGGGGAAAAAACUCCGGUGGUAUGAGAUGGACCCGCGUUCGAUUAGCCAGUUGGCGGGGUAACGGCCCACCAAAGCGACGAUCGAUAGCCGAUCUGAGAGGAUGACCGGCCACAUUGGGACUGAGACACGGCCCAAACUCCUACGGGAGGCAGCAGUGGGGAAUAUUGCACAAUGGGGGAAACCCUGAUGCAGCGACGCCGCGUGAGUGAAGAAGUAUUUCGGUAUGUAAAGCUCUAUCAGCAGGGAAGAAAAUGACGGUACCUGAGUAAGAAGCCCCGGCUAACUACGUG